rnacentral:rRNA from 1 species
AUGGGCAAGAAGCCCGGCGGCGCCGGCUGGCUGGCCACCGUCAGGAAGGUCUUCAAGACCAACCCCUCCUCCUCCCCGGCCAAGCACUCGCGCCACGCCAACAAGGGCCUGGGAGGCGAAGAGCAGGAGGCAGCAGAGAUACUGUCCGUCGAGCACUUCCCGGCCGCCGACACGUCGCCUGAGGUGACCAAUGAGGGCAGCGGCAGCUCCGUCGCCUGGAGGGCCCGGGAGGGCGGCGGGGUGGAGGCGGAGGACAGGAGGGCGCGCCGCGCAAUGGCGUCGAGGAUGGCGAGGCUCGCGGCCCUGCGCGAGAGGGCCGCCGGCAGGGAGGACCGCGCUGCCGUGCGCAUCCAGGCAUUCUACCGGGGCUACUUGGCGAGGAGAGCCCUGCGCGCUCUACGCGGGCUGGUGCGGCUGCAGGCGCUGGUGCGCGGCCACCAGGUGCGUCGCCAGGUCCAUCACACCAUGCGCUGCAUGCAGGCGCUCGUCCGCGCGCAGGACCGCGUCCGCGCCCGCCGCCUCACCUCUCACGUCGCCACGCCUGGCCGCCCCGCCCCCGUCGUCCCCUCGCACGGUGCCCGUCGGCAGUCGUACGGGCACGACCGCCUCUUCUUUGAUGACCACCAGCACGAGGAGGACGCGGAGACGGCGGCGCAGGUACGGCGGCUAAGAAACAGGCACGGCAGCAUCGGCAACUUGAGCCCGUUCCAGGACGGGUGGGACGCCGUCACGCGGGCCGGAGCCUUGCGCCGGCAUGACGACGCCCUGGCGUGCCCACCUGCCUACGCGUAUGAUUUCCAGCAGCCCAAGAUGAAAUUCCAUCACGAACAAAUGCAGCUUGAGCGCGACGAGCUGGACAAGCGCAAGGCCGGCUGGCACUGGCUGGAGCGCUGCAUGGCGCCCAACAGUGCGCCCCCGGAGCAGGCCAACCAGCACUUAGCGGCGGCGGAGACGUCGUACGUGACGGCGGCAACGGCCACGGCCACCGAAGGCGUUUCGGAGAGGACCGUGGAGAUGGAGCCGAGCAGGAAGAGCCCUCCGACGGAUCUGUACCCGGUGCACGCCGAAGUGAUUCCCGGGUACAUGGCGGCGACGCAGUCGGCGCGUGCCAAGGCCCGCAUGGCGCCGCCGAUCGCCCCGAGGGCUCACGCCCGGAGCCGGUCCGGGUCGGUGGCGCUCGGCGGGGGCUCGACGGCCAGCUCCGGCUGGAGCACGAGUAACAACGGUGAUCGUGCGGCGCAGCAGAGGGAACUGUACAGCCCGGAGUCGAGCUGCAGCGGGGACCGGUCGCCCCCGACACUUGGCGGCCGCGGCAGGGUGGCAUAUGCCUGA